CAAUAGCGUAUAUUAAAGUUGUUGCGGUAAAAAAGCUCGUAGUUGGACUUCUGUUGAGAGCGACCGGUCCAUACCAUGUAUGCGUAUCUGGCUUGCUCUCGGCAUCCUCUCGAUAGACGUUACUGCGCUUGAUUGCGUGGUGCGGAUCUCGGGACUUUUACUUUGAGGAAAUUAGAGUGUUCACGGCAGGCUUUCGCCAGAAUACAUUAGCAUGGAAUAAUACUAUAGGAUCUUGGUUCUAUUUUGUUGGUUUCUAGAAUUGAGAUAAUGAUUAAUAGGGACAAUUGGGGGCAUUCGUAUCAACACGUCAGAGGUGGAAUUCUUGGAUUGUGUUGCGACGAACUACUGCGAAAGCAUUUGCCAAGGAUGUUUUCAUUGA
rnacentral:rRNA from 1 species